GAUGAACGCUGACAGAAUGCUUAACACAUGCAAGUCCACUUGAACUUCGGUUUGGGUGGCGGACGGGUGAGUAACGCGUAAAGAACUUGCCUCACAGCUAGGGACAACAUUUGGAAACGAAUGCUAAUACCUGAUAUUAUGAUUAUAUGGCAUCGUAUAAUUAUGAAAGCUAUAUGCGCUGUGAGAGAGCUUUGCGCCCCAUUAGCUAGUUGGAGAGGUAACAGCUCACCAAGGCGAUGAUGGGUAGCCGGCCUGAGAGGGUGAUCGGCCACAAGGGGACUGAGACACGGCCCUUACUCCUACGGGAGGCAGCAGUGGGGAAUAUUGGACAAUGGACCGAGAGUCUGAUCCAGCAAUUCUGUGUGCACGAUGAAGUUUUUCGGAAUGUAAAGUGCUUUCAGUUGGGAAGAAAAAAAUGACGGUACCAACAGAAGAAGUGACGGCUAAAUACGUG
rnacentral:rRNA from 1 species